AUGAAGCACUGCUGGCUUCGAAGAUGGAAAAAGGGACCAUGGGUGAAGGAAUGUGGGCAGCCUUUAGAACCUGGGAAAUGUAAAAAACCAAUUUUACCCCCAGAGGUUUCAGAAAAGAAGCAGUCCUGCGGAUGUCUUGAUUCUAGCAUCCUACUAUAUCGGCUUCUCAGCCUGAGGCUUACUGCCAGAUACAACAUUGAUUUUGCAGGAGACACCAGUGCCCAGUCAGUGACCCAGCUUGAUGGCCAUGUCACUGUCUCUGAAAAAGCCCAUCUGGAGCUGAGGUGCAACUACUCCUAUGGGGCAACUCCUAAUCUCUUCUGGUACGUGCAGUACCCCAACCAAGGACUCCAGCUUCUCCUCAAGUACUUUUCAGGGCCACCAAAUGUCCUGGUUCAAGGCAUCAAAGGUUUUCAGGCUGAAUUUAGGAAGAAUGAAACGUCCUUCCACCUGAGGAAACACUCGGCCCACUGGAGCGACUCGGCCAAGUACUUUUGUGCUGCGAGUGACACAGUACCUUGGACUGCAGGGGGAGCUGAACACAAACCUCUUGAGGCACUAAGGAGGCUAAGUGCAUCUGAAAGGUUUUGGAUUCUGACAUAGAAGGACACACAGUACAGAGGCAUUCAGGGAC